ensembl:lncRNA
AUGACAUUCCUGCUGAUGGCAAGAAUCUUGUGUCUGGAGCUUCCACUGGAGAGAGACCUGGAACCUGGUGCUCCAACCAAAUGCUGUAGCUGGGACCAUCCAUCUUGGAGAAAUGGUCCAGGCCAACUGGAAAGUAUCCACAGGUGCCAUGGCCACAUCGAGUCCAAGGAAACAGUGCCAAGCACCCAGAGUCACAGGGGCAGCAACCAAGAAGAUGGUUCCCGAGGUUCACCUUUGCCUGGCCUCGUUUCCCACUGCACCCUGGUUUGUGCCUUCUGCUUACUCGGGAUGCUGCCUUGCCUUUCAGUAAGUGACUUUUCUGCUUAAGUGCCUAGAGUCACUUCCAGAUCUGGACAACUGAAAUCUCUGACUCAGUCAGCUGAGAAUAAUCAUCUAUUAACACCUUAGCUCUUUUAUGAUGUUCUGUCUUGCCAGCUAUUAAGAAGCAAAAGGAACUCCAGGAUAGGGACACUUUGAUGGACCCUGCAGUGGACGUGAGCGGUCCAGAACUCACUUCUGUCUAGAAGUCAAGAGUAUUAGUGUAAGAUGCUGGGUGACUAGAGGUUGUAGAGAAACUGUCACCUCUUUUCCAAAUCUGCUGAGGGAUGACCCUGAAAAAUAGGUCAGUGUUUCACAGUGAUCUGUGCUGAUUACAGCACUGCGUCUGGAAGGAGGUGAUACAUUUUUCCCUAGAACCCCAGAUGGAGAAAUGGGCUCCACCUCCCCCGCCGCUGUUUCAUUCUGGGCUGGAAUUCUGGUUGAAGCUCUCAGAGCAGAGAUUAACAGGGUGCUGUUGUGGAGUCAAGCUGCUGUGAGUUCCUGUCUGUAGGAACUGGGCGGCCUGGGCUGUGUGUGCUCCCCCAUGUGGAAGAGCUCUGCUCCUCCAGGCAGUUCUGCCAGCACCACAGCUGAGGUGUCUGUCAGCCUGGUCUUAGGUCCACAGCUCAGGAAGACCAGUCUCAAAAUGCCACAGCCCUGGGCUUCUCCCAUGGGCUCUUUCACCUUUUAAACCAAGAUGAAGCAAGAGUGUCUGCUUCCUCUGCUUCUUCUGAAGGGCAGUCAGAAUACCCACUGCCCUUCUAGCCUCACACAGGAAGUUGCUUAAUGAACUCAAAAAUAAUUAAUCACAGAGAGGAGAUUUCCUACAUUGAGUCUGUGGUUUCCUGCCCUUCAGAACGGGCUUCCUGCCCUCCUUUCCAGCGCCUCUCACUGCCUGUGUAUCAUCCUGGGCUCAGAUACCUGCUUUCCCUCUCCACCAACUCAAUCCUUAUUUUUGCCCUACUUCAUCUUCCUUUUACUUUCCACUGCAAAACUUAUUUUCUCCCAUACCCAUGUGCCCAUUAAUGUUUGCUUUCUGGAAAUAGUUCCACUUCAAGAGAGUUUUAUGGCAUCCUUGGCUCUCUCUCCUGCUGAACUAGACUGAGCAUACAUGUAUCUUUGGCCUUCACCUCACUUCUUCUAAAUCUGAUACUGUUAAGGGUUGAAUUGUCUCUCCCUGAGGAAUAUGUUGAAGUCCUAAUCCACGGUACCUCAAAAUGGAAGAUAUUUGGAAAUAGGGUCAUUGCAGAACUAAUUAGUUAAGAUGAGGUUGUAAUGAAGAAGGACGAGCCCCUACUUAUAAGGACCCAAUCCAAUUUGACUAGUGUCCUUAUAAGAUGACAACCAUGUGAAAUCACAGGGAGAAUGCUGUGUGACAACAAAGGCAGAUGCUGGAGUCAUACAGGUAUAAGCCAAGUAAUAGCAAGAUUGCCAGCAAUCACCUGAAGUUAGGCAGAGGCAAGUGUGGGUGGUUCUCCUACAGCAUGUCUGCUGACUACGUGAUUUUGAACUUUCAGCCCCCAGAACUGUUGGACAAUAAACAUUUGUUGUUCUAAGGCA